rnacentral:rRNA from 1 species
CGGAGCACGCCGCGUGAGCGAGAAGGCCUUCGGGUCGUAAAGCUCUGUUGUUAGGGAAGAACAAGUAUCGGAGUAACUGCCGGUACCUUGACGGUACCUAACCAGAAAGCCACGGCUAACUACGUGCCAGCAGCCGCGGUAAUACGUAGGUGGCAAGCGUUGUCCGGAAUUAUUGGGCGUAAAGCGCGCGCAGGCGGUCCUUUAAGUCUGAUGUGAAAGCCCACGGCUCAACCGUGGAGGGUCAUUGGAAACUGGGGGACUUGAGUGCAGAAGAGGAAAGCGGAAUUCCAUGUGUAGCGGUGAAAU